rnacentral:rRNA from 1 species
UACGUAGGGUGCAAGCGUUAAUCGGAAUUACUGGGCGUAAAGCGUGCGCAGGCGGUGAUGUAAGACAGAUGUGAAAUCCCCGGGCUCAACCUGGGAACUGCAUUUGUGACUGCAUCGCUGGAGUGCGGCAGAGGGGGAUGGAAUUCCGCGUGUAGCAGUGAAAUGCGUAGAGAUGUGGAGGAACACCGAUGGCGAAGGCAGCCCCCUGGGCUAACACUGACGCUCAUGCACGAAAGCGUGGGGAGCAAACAGG